AUUGAACGCUGGCGGCAGGCCUAACACAUGCAAGUCGAAUGGUAACAGGAAACAGCUUGCUGUUUCGCUGACGAGUGGCGGGCGGGUGAGUAAUGUCUGGGAAACUGCCUGAUGGAGGGGGGUAACUACUGGAAACGGUAGCUAUUACCGCAUAACGUCGCAAGACCAAAGAGGGGGACCUUCUGGCCUCUUGCCAUCAGGUGUGACCAGAUGGGAUUAGCUAGUAGGCGGGGUAAAGGCUCACCUAGGCGACGAUCCCUAGCUGGUCUGAGAGGAUGACCAGCCACACUGGAACUGAGACACGGUCCAGACUCCUACGGGAGGCAGCAGUGGGGAAUAUUGCACAAUGGGCGCAAGCCUGAUGCAGCCUUGCCGCGUGUAUGAAGAAGGCCUUCGGGUUGUAAAGUACUUUCAGCGGGGAGGAAGGGAGUAAAGUUAAUACCUUUGCUCAUUGACGUUACCCGAAGAAGAAGCACCGGCUAACUCCGUG
rnacentral:rRNA from 1 species